AGUUCAAUCCAUUGUGUCCAUAUCGAUUCAUUUUGUAUAUAAAGCUGACCAAAUCCCACAAUCAGCAACAGUCACUAGACACUGAACAAAGUGAACACACAGUCCUACCCAAACUCAAAACCUUCUUUGUUAAAACUAUUAUCAAAAUGAAAUUCAUCGUCUUGGCUUUUUUGGUUAUUUUGGCCGCUGUUGCCAUCGUUUCAGCUGUUCCAGUUGAUGAAACAGUCGUUGGACAAGUCUAUGGUCAACAUGAGAGCAUCAAUCCACAAGAUCCAAACGAAUUCUUCAAAUUGAAGAAACUCAAGAAAAUCUUUUUUGGUUAGACGAGGCUAUAUUUGGAGCAACUGCUAUAAGAGAGAAUUCAUACAAACACAACCAACAGAAAACUCUCUCUCUGGCCAAAUACUAAUUAAAUUAAAUUGUUUUGAUUAUAUUUAUGUUGCAAAUAUCGCUAAGAAUGAACUUAUCACCGGCAUAAAUGCUACGACUUUUAAAUUUUUAAUUUUAACUCUACUUUGUCGUCUUCUACUCCUUUCUGAACUAGAACCCAAAACUGCACAAAAAUACAAACACAGUCAAUAACAUUAGUUUCAACAAGUAUUUUGUAUAUAAACUUUAUCAAAAAAUAAAAUAUUUUAAAACCAACAAAAAUCAAACCAAA